UCCUUUGGUCCAGGAGGGAGAUAGAGGAGGACAGCCUCAGCUGUACGGGGAAUCACUUGGAUACCUUCUAGAAAGUUCAGAGCCCAGGCCACCUACAGAUGAAAGGCCCUGGCUAUGCCAUGUCAUCACCACAAUCGGAGUUUCUCCAUCUGUAAAAUGGACUGUAAUGAGCAGCUUGUUCACAGAGCUCCUGAGAUGAAAGGGCCAGGAAGUGGCCGGCCGGAACCAGCCCUGUGCAGGGUGGCCUCCGCCCUGCCCUCCCUCUGCUGCUCCCUGGGCUCCGGUGCCCCUGAGUGGCCAAAGAGGAGGACGGAGGGGCCUGAGCUGGACAGAGCAGGGGUGCUCCUGUGGACUUGCUUCCCUGCCAGAGUUCAUCUGAAGGCAAGGUUCCCAUGGGUUCCACAUGCUCACAAACAGCUGUUUUCUGCUGGGGGAGUAAAUGGGAAAAGGCUCUCCUGGUGUCUUAGCUGUGUGACCUUGGGCAAGCAGCUUCCCAUCUCUGUGCUGUUUUUCUGAACAGUAAAGGGUGAAAAAUACUGCCUCCAA